GGGCCCGCACAAGCGGUGGAGCAUGUGGUUUAAUUCGAUGCAACGCGAAGAACCUUACCAGGGUUUGACAUCCUGCGAAUCUCUUGGAAACAGUAUAGCCUUCGGGAACGCAGUGACAGGUGGUGCAUGGCUGUCGUCAGCUCGUGUCGUGAGAUGUUGGGUUAAGUCCCGCAACGAGCGCAACCCACGUCUUUAGUUGCCAGCAUUAGUUGGGCACUCUAGAGAGACUGCCGGUGAUAAACCGGAGAAGGUGUGGAUGACGUCAAGUCAUCAUGCCCCUUACAUCUGGGCUACACACGUACUACAAUGCUACGGACAAAGGGCAGCAAGUUCGCGAGGACAAGCAAAUCCCAUAAACGUGGCUC
rnacentral:rRNA from 1 species